GAGGCAGUAGCCCUAAGUUUGCCCAACUGGGCAGAGGAUCCUCCUCCCAUCACUGCUGCCUAGACCACUCUAUGAUUCUCUGGUUUUGUCUGCUUUGUGUCCUGCUUCUGAAUACUUUGGCCAAAUUGAGAAUCCCAUUAAUCAAAUAGUGGAGAAAGUGAUCUUGGUGGUGAACAGCUGGUGCCUCCCAUCUGAUGUCCAUCAAGGUUUCUUCAAGGCUGAAUUGGUAAGAGUGGUUCAUCUGCACAUUCAGCCUCAACAGACACAUGGGAAAACGAGGAGUGGGAGUCUUCUCUGUGGCAGCAAGAAGGAGCUCAGAGAAGGUGUGGAAGAGCCAUAGCAGCAUAUGGAUGAUCUCUCACAAGCUAGGGUGUCAUAUGCACAGACCUGAAAGCCCAGGGAAUGACAGAGACAAGAAUUAUCUGAGAGGUUACUCAGUCUCCUCCUCAUCCCCUCAGUGAGAGGAGCACUACUGACCUGAAAAUAUUUUGUUCUUUGCAAGCCAUUCCAGGGCCUACUGUCCCUUCAGAUGCCACCUAUGUGCUGGUAGCAGAAACAAAUGGUGCCAUUAAACCCUUUGGUGGUGAACUGGGCAGCCAGACCCUUCCAGAACCAUGGGUUUGCACCUGCUCUAAAUACAAGCUCGGAACCCACCUCAGUCUGUACCAUAGGAUGUCACUUGUGACUCAAGUUCUGGCUGUGGACAUGUUGCUGAAGCUGCUGUUAUCCUGCUCUACUUUACUUGUCUGUUAUUUUCUCCAGUAACAAGAAAAUGUUGAGGAAGUCUCUUCCUUGUCCCCUCCCGGGGAGUUGGGUGACUGGUCCCAAUGCCAGCUCAGCAGCCACGUCUGCACAGCCUAGCCAGAGUCACCCAGGGGCUAAACACCUUCAAAGAGAGGACUGGAAGGAUUUGCUUGUGUUCACUUCCUAGGAUCCUCUCUGCAAAAGACAUGGGAGUGAACCCUCCUGGCCAGACCUGCAGUUCUGCCAGCUCACCAUCCCAACAGAGACCAAUACAGAUGUUUUGCAGGAAGGAAUUAUUUUCUGCAGCAAACCCAUUACGAAGCCUUUGGCUUGAGCUCUGAAGGUUUUAUAUCCUUUCUGUGCUUCUUAGAUGCCUAUGUUCUUUGCCUAACAGAUAUAGUGGGGAAUCCUGGGGAGAGGUAAACAAAAGAGAUAAAGACUCUGAAGCCCAGAGCUUGUUUGCCUGUGUCUGUUUAAAUGCCAUUCAACAAAGCUUUAUUUGCACAAAGCAGUGAGGCCUGCAUGUGGCCAGAAGUCUCUCCUGCCUGUUGUCUCUGUGUAGCCCAUGUGCUCACUCCUUAUCCCUGGUUUAUACAGCUGGUCUGAGGACCACCCCAGGUAACAAAGAAAACAGCUCUUGAAGGAUCUGCUGGGAAUAGGAAGAUGUCGUAUUAUUUACCAGGUUGGAUUUAUGCAUGUGUGAGUGUGUUUAAUGAGCAGCCCAGUGCCUGCUGGACUCCUGAGGCUGGAAUUUAUACAGGCCAGCAUUUGGCUGCUGUAGUUUAUCUUGAAUGCAAGAAUAAUAAACUCAGCUGACAGGAUGAUGCAUGCAAAGCAUCUUCCCCUCCCACA